GAUUGACCAUGGGUAACUGAAAACAUGGAAAGCAAACCUGCAGAUAAGGGGGGGUGUAUUACUAUAUCUAAAUAUUUCAAGUAUCAACAGAGCCUUUAAAAUAGUAAACAACUAACAAUUUUGAGAAAAUAGAGACAAUAAAGAAAAAAAAUUACCAGAGAACUGGAAUGUAGAUAAAUACUCAAGUGGAAAUCCAGAAAUUAAAAAAAAAAUAACUGAAAUUAAGAACCUUAUAGAUGAGUUUUAAUAACACGCUAGACCCAGAAGAAAGGAACAGUGAAAUGGAAGAUUCAUCAGGAGAAAAUAUCCACUCAAAGCAGUGAAAGAAGAAGAGAUGGAAACUACAAAAAGAGGAUCAGACUCAUAUAAGUAUUCAUUAACUAAACCAAGAUUUAGAAAGACCAGAGAAAGGAGAGUUGAAUUCUAAUUGUCUUCAAAGGCUAUGUCAACACCAUACCUACUAGAAUUGACUUAGUGGGAAAUGCAAGGACUUUGAAGAUGUCAUCUCAGGGCACCUGGGUGGCUCAGUGGGUUAAGCAUCCAACUUUGGCUCAGGUCAUGAUCUUGCG